GGGUUGUGAGGUUAAGCGACUAAGCGUACACGGUGGAUGCCUAGGCAAUCAGAGGCGAUGAAGGACGUGCUAAUCUGCGAAAAGCGUCGGUAAGGUGAUAUGAACCGUUAUAACCGACGAUGUCCGAAUGGGGAAACCCAGUGCAAUUCGUUGCACUAUCGUUUGAUGAAUCCAUAGUCAAACGAGGCGAACCGGGGGAACUGAAACAUCUCAGUACCCCGAGGAAAAGAAAUCAACCGAGAUUCCCCUAGUAGCGGCGAGCGAACGGGGAGCAGCCCAGAGUCUUAAUCAGCAUCAGCAUCAGGAGAACGGUCUGGAAAGGCCGGCAAUAAAGGGUGAUAGCCCCGUAUCCGAAGGUGUUGGUGUUGUGAACUCGACGAGUAGGGCGGGACACGUGUUAUCCUGUCUGAAUAUGGGGGACCAUCCUCCAAGGCUAAAUACUCCUGAUUGACCGAUAGUGAACCAGUACCGUGAGGGAAAGGCGAAAAGAACCCCGGCGAGGGGAGUGAAAUAGAACCUGAAACCGUGUACGUACAAGCAGUGGGAGCCUUGAUUUAUCAGGGUGACUGCGUACCUUUUGUAUAAUGGGUCAGCGACUUAUAUUCUGUAGCAAGGUUAACCGAAUAGGGGAGCCGUAGGGAAACCGAGUCUUAACUGGGCGAAUGAGUUGCAGGGUAUAGACCCGAAACCCGGUGAUCUAGCCAUGGGCAGGUUGAAGGUUGGGUAACACUAACUGGAGGACCGAACCGACUAAUGUUGAAAAAUUAGCGGAUGACUUGUGGCUGGGGUGAAAGGCCAAUCAAACCGGGAGAUAGCUGGUUCUCCCCGAAAGCUAUUUAGGUAGCGCCUCGUGAACUCAUCUUCGGGGGUAGAGCACUGUUUCGGCUAGGGGGUCAUCCCGACUUACCAACCCGAUGCAAACUACGAAUACCGAAGAAUGUUAUCACGGGAGACACACGGCGGGUGCUAACGUUCGUCGUGAAGAGGGAAACAACCCAGACCGCCAGCUAAGGUCCCAAAGUCAUGGUUAAGUGGGAAACGAAGUGGGAAGGCUCAGACAGCCAGGAUGUUGGCUUAGAAGCAGCCAUCAUUUAAAGAAAGCGUAAUAGCUCACUGGUCGAGUCGGCCUGCGCGGAAGAUGUAACGGGGCUAAACCAUGCACCGAAGCUGCGGCAGCGACAUGUAAAUGUUGUUGGGUAGGGGAGCGUUCUGUAAGCCUGUGAAGGUGUGCUGCGAGGCAUGCUGGAGGUAUCAGAAGUGCGAAUGCUGACAUAAGUAACGAUAAUGCGGGUGAAAAACCCGCACGCCGGAAGACCAAGGGUUCCUGUCCAACGUUAAUCGGGGCAGGGUGAGUCGACCCCUAAGGCGAGGCAGAAAUGCGUAGUCGAUGGGAAACAGGUUAAUAUUCCUGUACUGGUGAUAAUUGCGAUGGGGGGACGGAGAAGGCUAGGCUGGCCGGGCGACGGUUGUCCCGGUUUAAGGAUGUAGGUGGGCGAAUUAGGCAAAUCCGGUUCGCUAUACACUGAGGUCUGAUGACGAGUCACUACGGUGGCGAAGUAGCUCAUGCCCCGCUUCCAGGAAAAGCCUCUAAGCUCUAGAUUAUCAUUAAUCGUACCCCAAACCGACACAGGUGGUCAGGUAGAGAAUACUCAGGCGCUUGAGAGAACUCGGGUGAAGGAACUAGGCAAAAUGGUGCCGUAACUUCGGGAGAAGGCACGCUGGCACUAGGUGAAGUCCCUUGCGGAUGGAGCUGAAGCCAGUCGCAGAUACCAGCUGGCUGCAACUGUUUAUUAAAAACACAGCACUGUGCAAACACGAAAGUGGACGUAUACGGUGUGACGCCUGCCCGGUGCUGGAAGGUUAAUUGAUGGGGUUAUCCGUAAGGAGAAGCUCUUGAUCGAAGCCCCAGUAAACGGCGGCCGUAACUAUAACGGUCCUAAGGUAGCGAAAUUCCUUGUCGGGUAAGUUCCGACCUGCACGAAUGGCGUAAUGAUGGCCAGGCUGUCUCCACCCGAGACUCAGUGAAAUUGAACUCGCUGUGAAGAUGCAGUGUACCCGCGGCAAGACGGAAAGACCCCGUGAACCUUUACUAUAGCUUGACACUGAACAUUGAGCCUUGAUGUGUAGGAUAGGUGGGAGGCUUUGAAGUGUGGACGCCAGUCUGCAUGGAGCCAACCUUGAAAUACCACCCUUUAAUGUUUGAUGUUCUAACGUUGCCCCGUGAUCCGGGGUGCGGACAGUGUCUGGUGGGUAGUUUGACUGGGGCGGUCUCCUCCCAAAGCGUAACGGAGGAGCACGAAGGUUGGCUAAGCAUGGUCGGACAUCAUGCGGUUAGUGCAAAGGCAUAAGCCAGCUUGACUGCGAGAGUGACGGCUCGAGCAGGUACGAAAGUAGGUCUUAGUGAUCCGGUGGUUCUGAAUGGAAGGGCCAUCGCUCAACGGAUAAAAGGUACUCCGGGGAUAACAGGCUGAUACCGCCCAAGAGUUCAUAUCGACGGCGGUGUUUGGCACCUCGAUGUCGGCUCAUCACAUCCUGGGGCUGAAGUAGGUCCCAAGGGUAUGGCUGUUCGCCAUUUAAAGUGGUACGCGAGCUGGGUUUAGAACGUCGUGAGACAGUUCGGUCCCUAUCUGCCGUGGGCGUUGGAAGAUUGAAAGGGGCUGCUCCUAGUACGAGAGGACCGGAGUGGACGCACCGCUGGUGUUCGGGUUGUCAUGCCAAUGGCACUGCCCGGUAGCUAAGUGCGGAAGAGAUAACCGCUGAAAGCAUCUAAGCGGGAAACUUGCCUUGAGAUGAGUCUUCCCUGACUCUUUAAGGGUCCUAAAGGAACGUUUAAGACGAAGACGUUGAUAGGCUGGGUGUGUAAGCGUAGCGAUACGUUGAGCUAACCAGUACUAAUGAACCGUGAGGCUUAACCUGACAACACCGAAGGUGUUUUAG
rnacentral:rRNA from 1 species